GCUUGCUUCUCUGAUAGUUAGCGGCGGACGGGUGAGUAACACGUAGGCAACCUGCCCUCAAGCUUGGGACAACUACCGGAAACGGUAGCUAAUACCGAAUACUUGUUUUCUUCGCCUGAAGAGAACUGGAAAGACGGAGCAAUCUGUCACUUGGGGAUGGGCCUGCGGCGCAUUAGCUAGUUGGUGAGGUAACGGCUCACCAAGGCGACGAUGCGUAGCCGACCUGAGAGGGUGAUCGGCCACACUGGGACUGAGACACGGCCCAGACUCCUACGGGAGGCAGCAGUAGGGAAUCUUCCGCAAUGGGCGAAAGCCUGACGGAGCAAUGCCGCGUGAGUGAUGAAGGUUUUCGGAUCGUAAAGCUCUGUUGCCAGGGAAGAACGCUUGAGAGAGUAACUGCUCUCAAGGUGACGGUACCUGAGAAGAAAGCCCCGGCUAACUACGUGCCAGCAGCCGCGGUAAUACGUAGGGGGCAAGCGUUGUCCGGAAUUAUUGGGCGUAAAGCGCGCGCAGGCGGUCAUGUAAGUCUGGUGUUUAAUCCCGGGGCUCAACCCCGGAUCGCACUGGAAACUGUGUGACUUGAGUGCAGAAGAGGAGAGUGGAAUUCCACGUGUAGCGGUGAAAUGCGUAGAGAUGUGGAGGAACACCAGUGGCGAAGGCGACUCUCUGGGCUGUAACUGACGCUGAGGCGCGAAAGCGUGGGGAGCAAACAGGAUUAGAUACCCUGGUAGUCCACGCCGUAAACGAUGAGUGCUAGGUGUUAGGGGUUUCGAUACCCUUGGUGCCGAAGUUAACACAUUAAGCACUCCGCCUGGGGAGUACGGUC
rnacentral:rRNA from 1 species